rnacentral:misc_RNA from 1 species
ACCUCAUAAUCAUCCUGCUCCCCCCAUUGGACGGUGAGGGACUCGUAAUCCCAAUACUCCUUAGGGCGGAUGACAUUGACGUCGUAGUAAACCCUAGCCUUGGAUGGGGCGCCAGGGCGGCGAAUCGAUUUCCCGAUCUUCUGCGCCAGCGUGUCAGGCGGUGGAGCUAAUGGCUUCAACCGAUGGAGGUGUGCCGGCGGUCGACGGUCUUGCUGUUGCUUUUGGCGAUAGAAAGUGGUGCUGGAAGCUAAUCGAUGGAGGAAGGUGAUCUGCAAUAGUUGGAUGGGGGACAGAGGGAAAGAAGAGGGAGAAGAGAGUUCUGUUAUGGUGAUUGAAGAUUGCUAAUUGAUGUAGCAGAGGCCUUAUGGCCAUCCAGUCGUAAUUUUAGGGGUUAAAAAGGAGUUUGCUUUAGCAUGGCCGGAACCCGAAUCGCUGUCCUUCUUCAUUUUUCUCUUUUUCCUUUUGCUUUUUUUUUAGAUAUUUAUAUUCUCUUUUCUUUUCCCAAUUUUGA